GGGCGUUUAACUCAGUUGGUAGAGUGCUUGCUUCGCAUUUACUUACGUAACGUGAUUACGUAAUCAGACGCUGCAUGAAGCCGGGCGUUCGAAUCGCCCAUCGUCCA